GGCUCAGGAUGAACGCUGGCGGUAUGCUUAACACAUGCAAGUCGAACGGAAUCUUUCGAGAUUUAGUGGCGGACGGGUGAGUAACACGUGAGAACCUACCUUCAGAACGGGGAUAACAGUUGGAAACGACUGCUAAUACCCGAUGUGCCGAAAGGUGAAAGAUUUAUCGUCUGAAGAAGGGCUCGCGGCUGAUUAGCUAGUUGGUAAGGUAAAGGCUUACCAAGGCGACGAUCAGUAACUGGUCUGAGAGGAUGAGCAGUCACACUGGAACUGAGAAACGGUCCAGACUCCUACGGGAGGCAGCAGUGGGGAAUUUUCCGCAAUGGGCGAAAGCCUGACGGAGCAAUACCGCGUGAGGGAGGAAGGUUCUUGGAUUGUAAACCUCUUUUCUAGGGGAAUAAAAAAAUGAAGGUACCCUAGGAAUAAGCAUCGGCUAACUCCGUGCCAGCAGCCGCGGUAAUACGGAGGAUGCAAGCGUUAUCCGGAAUUAUUGGGCGUAAAGAGUCCGUAGGUGGAAGUUCAAGUCUGUCGUUAAAGAAUGGAGCUUAACUCCAUAGAGGCGGUGGAAACUGAACAACUAGAGUGCGGUAGGGGUAACGGGAAUUCCCAGUGUAGCGGUGAAAUGCGUAGAUAUUGGGAAGAACAUCGGUGGCGAAAGCGCGUUACUGGGCCGAAACUGACACUGAGGGACGAAAGCUAGGGUAGCGAAAGGGAUUAGAUACCCCUGUAGUCCUAGCCGUAAACGAUGGAUACUAGGCGUAGCACGUAUCGACCCGUGCUGUGCCGAAGCUAACGCGUUAAGUAUCCCGCCUGGGGAGUACGCUCGCAAGAGUGAAACUCAAAU
rnacentral:rRNA from 1 species